rnacentral:rRNA from 1 species
UACGAAGGGGGCUAGCGUUGCUCGGAAUUACUGGGCGUAAAGCGUGCGUAGGUGGUUUGUUAAGUCUGUUGUGAAAGCCCCGGGCUCAACCUGGGAAUGGCAAUGGAUACUGGCAGGCUAGAGUGCGGUAGAGGGUAGUGGAAUUCCCGGUGUAGCGGUGAAAUGCGUAGAGAUCGGGAGGAACACCAGUGGCGAAGGCAGCUGGCUACAGGGAUAUUGACACUGAGGCACGAAAGCGUGGGGAUCAAACAGG